CAAGUAGAUUGCCUUAUCGCUGCUAUUUUAUAGUAGAGGAAAGUCCGAACACCAUAGUGCAAUAUAGUGGUUAAUGGCCACCAGUUGUGAGACUAGGAAAAGUGCAACAGAAAGUAUGUACAGGUAAUGCUGUAGUGAAAUCAGGUAAACUCUAUAUGGUGCAAUGUCAUGUAUACCAACGCCUAGGGUUGCACGCCCAAUGUUGGAGGGUAGACAGCUAAAGUGUAUUGGCAACAAUACACUCAGAUAAAUGAUAAGGGUUUUUUCUUUUUAUGAUUCUUUUUCAAAAAGAAAAAGUACAGGAUUCGGCUUAUAGAUUUGCUUAGAAA
rnacentral:RNase_P_RNA from 1 species